rnacentral:rRNA from 1 species
UGGUGGAGUGAUUUGUCUGGUUAAUUCCGUUAACGAACGAGACCUCGACCUGCUAAAUAGUUCGGCGAACUCUUCGGGGUUCGUACAAACUUCUUAGAGGGACUAUCGCGCGUAGUAGCCGAUGGAAGUUCGAGGCAAUAACA